CCCUACAACAUGAGCAUGAACUGAUCACUGAGACUGCAUUGCGCAUGAAAGACAGUUUUAGAAGACGAACGUCACCUUCGUCAGAAGCAGAUUUUUACUGCCAGGCUGGCUUUGACCAAAAAGGUUUUGAGAUCAAAUUUAUAUCAGACUAUAAAAACAUCCAAACGGCUAGCUCAGAUGUGGAAGUGGAAUCGGACCCUUUUAGUUGGGAAUUCAAUGGGAAAUUCAUUUGACAGUGAUGAUGAUGAUGAGAUUAAUUCAGCUUGUUGUGAUCCUCCUGGACAUCCAAGUGUUUUCGACAUUGAUGAAGAUUUUGUCACUCUGUCUCUGUUGGACCAAACCAAGAAAUGAUGGUUUUAAGAAGAUUAUAGGAUAUGUCAUAGAAUAGGAAGACCCCACCACUGGAGGCAGGCUAAUGACUACCCAGUAGAUGAGUGUGUUUAUGAGGUGUAGGGAUUAAAAAAGGACAAGGAAUACAACUUCCACAUACGGGCCAAGAAUCUUGAAGGUUUUAGUGAGUCUAGUGAUGUGAUUGGUCCCAUAACCCCCAUUUCAAAUACACCAAGGUUUUGCCACCUGGUGUACCAGAGGCUGUCAACAAUUCUAUAACUUAUCUGAAAUGGGAACCACCUAAGCAUAAUGGUGGCUGUAAAAUUACAGACUACCUUGUGGAAGAGAGGUUUAAGGGAGCAGAGAUGUGGUUUAAGUGUAAUGAGUACCCCUGCACUGACCUCUCUUUACUGUCACCGAUCUUCCUCAGGACUCAGAGUGGGAGUUAAGAGUUACAGCUGUUAACUUUGCUGGAAACUGUGAGCCCAGUCUGUGCUCACCAGCAUACAAAAUCCAGGAGAAGAUUGAGUCUUUUGCAAUUGAGCAGGAUGAGGAAUCACACCAAUCAUUUGUAAAUGAAAGCAGCAGUCAUGAUGUUGUCAAUGAGAAUGAAUUUUAAAUAGGAUAUGAUACAGGGGCACUUUUAAGUGAUGAAGCAGACGAGUAUGAUGAUGGUAAUGAUGAUGAAUCAUACCAUCCUUCAAGCGAUGAAAAAAGCUGUGAUGAAGAUACCAUUAAUGAUCUUGAUAUGCCCAGUAAGCCUCUCAAAUCUGAAAUGCAGCAGAAACAAGCUGCACUUGCAAGUGACAGUGAAAAGGACAGUGAAUGUGAAGAUGAUCAUGAUGAUGUCAGCAAAGUUUUACCACAGUCAGAGAAGCGAAAGACCAGUUUUUUAGAGGCCAAAAACAUCGUCUGGGAACUAUGAUAAUAAAAAACAUUCAUGUCUCUUUUGUGAGAAGUUUUGCCAGCAGGCCAAUUGAUGGUAUGCAUAUCAUAUAAGCCCAUAGCUCUUUAAGUACAAAAAAUUGUGAGAUUCGU